GGCAGUUGAGAUUCAGACCUUGACAGUUGUAACCGAUAGACUGGGCUGGGGCAACGCUGAUGAAAGGCAAAUUCCUGAGAGAAAAAUCACCCAGAUUUUUCAGUGCCUUCUCUAGCUUUCUAGAAGUUGUUAUGAGUGGACCUGACUACCUAGAGAGAGUAAUACAGAAGCUCCGUGCCGAUCACAGCUACCUCAUUACCAUGUUCCUCCAAGAUGGCCGCCCCUGAGGAGAAUCAUCAACUGGGCUUUACGGAAGAGAGAAAUCCAAACGACCAUCAGCAACAAAUGAAAGACUGAAGUUGAAAGGAAAUCCAUAAUUUUUGAAUGCUGGCCGAGGUCUGUGACCUCUGACUGAAUGGUUUCCAAGCUCCGAAUUCCUAGGUGAUGUUUUCAUUUGUUCACACUUGCUGAAGAAGGGAAAGGCUCUCUGAUUUACGUGUAAGCAAAACAAUCUAAACAGUAGGAUAAAAUCAUGUUGGAAUGGAGUUCUGUGUGGAUGCUCCUUUGAACCAAAUCAGUUCCACAACUGACCCUGUCAGGGACAUAUAAAUUUAGCAUUUUGGUGUGGAUACAGAAGACGAGAUUAACACAGAUCAAGUAACAUGGAAAUAAAAAAGGAGACAAUGCUGGAUGAUACAGGGGCAGCCAACAAGAGGAGAAAACCCAAGCAUUGGCAAAUGCCUCAUUAUCCAAAGAACACUCCUUAUACUCCUGAGAAUUUGUGGCAGUCCUGGGUUAAACGAUGAAGGCUUCUUAUUCUCAUGUAGGUCUCACAGCCUCUUGUCUCCCUGAGUUUUAAACACAUUGCAUUACCUUUCCAGAGGUAAAAGAAAGCCUGAGGAGGCUUUCCCCUCUGAGUUUUUCCGUGGAUUGCUGGACUCUGAGGCCCUCAUUCCUCUUGCAGGAGGUGUGGAGCAAAACUGUGUUGAAUGAACUGUAGAUGGAAAUUCUCUCCUUCCCACCGAGGAGCCGCUGCAGGUUGCAGACUCCCAGAAUGCCACACUGAGAAGAGGAGGGCUAAAAUUCUAGAGCAGAAUCCCUGGGGCAGCCCCUGCUGAAGAAGGGUGCAUCUGUUGAGAAUCUCAUCACCGCCCCCACCCCGCCCAGCCUUCAAUUUAGAGGAAUUUCUAGUUCACGCAGAAUGAAGACAAGAUCACAUAAGUGAGGACGACGCCCCAUUUACAAGUGUGAUUUGGAAGACUGAAGUGGAAACCUUGGGAAGGGGCCUCAGAGUAUGUCAGCUGGGGUCAGACGGGAACAGGAGUCUGGCUCAACACACAUUUAUUGCACUCCUGUUUCAUGCCAAGAAAUGUACCAAAAUCUGGGACUGUGUAACACAGCAAAGGAAAAGACUCAUCUCCAGGAAGCCCCCUUGUCUAGGAAGAGAAAUUGAAUAUCAGCAUAAGGUGGUGAAAAGCUGUGAAGGAGAUGAGUGCCAGGAGUCCAUGGAGGAAGGAUUCUAGCCUGGACAGGUGAGGAAUGGCUUUCUGGAAGAAGCAGAUGCCCCAGCUGAACUUUAAAAUGCCCAUGUGAAAUGAACUGUCUGUAUCUUCAAUCAGCAAAUGGAGUGAUUGUGGUGAAUAGUCAUGAGAAUCUGGGAACUGGCUCCUGCUCUGUCUAUCUUGGAGAUGCAUCUUUUGUGAGAAGCCAGGGCAAGAAUAGGGAGGCUUAGGCAAUGGGAAGUUUCUGAGUAGAUAAAGCAGAUGGCAGAGCAAAGGGACAGAGCCUGGCGAGAGGCUACUCCCUGUAGCAACCUGCCUAAGAGUGAGAGGAAAGCAAGGCAUGGCUAUGAGCACGUGUAGUCUCAGCUACUUGGGAAGCUGAGGCUGGGGGAUCACUUGAGCCCAGGAGUUCAAGACCAGCCUAGGCAACAUAGUGAGACCAUGUCUCUUUAAAAAAAAAAAAAAAAAGAAAAA
ensembl:lncRNA LINC01206 long intergenic non-protein coding RNA 1206